UGGGGAAUAUUGGACAAUGGGGGCAACCCUGAUCCAGCAAUGCCGCGUGUGUGAAGAAGGUCUUCGGAUUGUAAAGCACUUCCGACGGGGACGAUGAUGACGGUACCCGUAGAAGAAGCCCCGGCUAACUUCGUGCCAGCAGCCGCGGUAAUACGAAGGGGGCUAGCGUUGCUCGGAAUGACUGGGCGUAAAGGGCGUGUAGGCGGUUUACACAGUCAGAUGUGAAAUCCCCGGGCUUAACCUGGGAGCUGCAUUUGAUACGUGUAGACUAGAGUGUGAGAGAGGGUUUGUGGAAUUCCCAGUGUAGAGGUGAAAUUCG
rnacentral:rRNA from 1 species